AUGGCCGCACCCAUGGCAUAUGGAAGUUCCUGGACUAGGGACUGAAUCUGAGCCGCAGGUGCGGCAGAGCCAGAUCCUUUAACCCACUGUGCUGGGCCGGGGAUAGAAACCGAGCCUCUACAGUCAGAUUCUUAACCAACUGCACCACAGUAGGAACCCCAACAUUCGACAUUUGAUGGUGCAGAUACCUCCUUCUUCCUUCAGUGUAAAUAUUCUAAUACAAAUAUUUUUAUUAAUUGCCCCCCGCCAAAAAACAACAAAAAACCAAAAAGCACAAUAAAAAAAUUGGACCUUACCAAACCACCUGUAGGGCUUGCUUGCCCCUCUGGUACACUCUUCCACCCUGUGUCUUGCCUUGGUAAUGCCUGAUGGGUCACCCGAUAGGCUUCAACCUAGACAUCACACAUUUCUUCAGGAACCUUCCCUUCCACUAUGCUCCUGUCACCAGGGGUGUAGUACUAGGGGAAUCACACCUGAUAGCAAUUGCUCAUUUAUUUAGUACCCUCCAGCAUAUACAUUAAAUACAUCUGUAAGUACUUGCUGACUAUUCCACUAGGUAAUAGGCACCACCCAACCUGGGAAAGAUGAUUGGUGCCUUCCCCGUAGAGCCUAGUCCAAGCUUUUGUUUUGUUUGUCCUUUUAUAGCCACACCUAUGGCAUAUGGAAGUUCCCAGGUGCAGCCCUAAAAGGACAAAAGACCAAAAAUAAAUAAAUCAACUGCAGCUUGUGUUAAGCUUAAUCCACUGAGCAAGGCCAAGGGUUGAAUCUACAUCUUCACGGACACUUUGUGGGGUUCUUAACCCACUGAGCCACAAGAGGAACUCCUUGUUUUGUUUUUAAAUGGCUUUAUUGAGAUUUAGUCCAUGGACUAUGCAAUUCACCCAUUUAAGAUGUAAAAUUUGGGAGUUCCUGGGUGGCACAGUGGGUUAAGGAUUUUGCGAUGUCAUUGCUAUGGCUUGUAUUACCGCUGUGGCGCAGGUAAGAUCCCUGGCCCAGGAACUUCUGCAUACUGCAUGUAUAUGGCCAAAAAUAAAUAAAUAAAAUGUACAAUUUAGUGGCUUUUAGUAUAUUUACAAAGUUCAUCACCACAAUCAGUUUUAAAGUUUUCAUCAACCCCAAAAGAAACUUCGCACUCCUUAGGUAUCAUCGCUGGGGCCUCUGCAUCCCCUUCCCUUCCCCAUCACCCAGCCCCUGAGGUAACCACCAAUCUAGUGUAACCACAGAUCCUAUAGAUUUGCCUAUUCUGGAUAUUUCUUAUGUGAAUCAGGUUAGGUCUUCCCCAUCUUACCCAGUUCUGAGAUUCUUCUAAGAACUUCCCUGGAGAUUCAAAUUCAGAGAUCAGAGAAUCUGGUGGGUUCCCCCCCCCCCCCCCCGCUUUUUAGGGCCGCACCUGCAGCAUAUGGAAGUUCCCAGGCUAGGGGUUUGAAUCGGCGCCACAGCUGCUGGACCACAGCACAACCACAGCCACGUGAGAUCCGAGCCAUGUCUUCCACCUACACCACAGCUCACAGCAACUCCGAAUCCCCAACCCACUGAGUGAGGCCAGGGAUUGAACCUGCACCCUCAUGGAUCCUAGUCGGGUUCGUUAACCAAUGAGCUACAAAGGGAACUCUGGAAUCUGUAUUUUUAACAUGGGGUCUUCUCUAAAGAGUCAAUUCUCUAUUUAAUCAGACUGCAUCUGCCUUUACUGUCUCCAGCAACCAAGGCCAAAUGUAUAGUAGUUGUCAACAAAUAGCUUUUGAUGACUACCUCUAAAACUUAACACAAUCAAGCAUUUUGAGUAUGGCGAGUCCCCUUGUGGCUUGGCAGGUUGGGGACAAUAUAGGCAGGGAGGAGUGAGAUCAGACUAGUAGAGGAGGCAAAUUGAAUCCACAGAGGCCAAAGGUGGCAAUUAGAAAGGGGCUUGUGGAGUGGCUGAAGAGUUUGGGAUUUAUUACCUCUAGGGUACUGGAGAGUCAUCCAUGGGCUUGAAGCAGGGGAAUUAUGAGAUCACAUCUGGGCUGUGCAGUUGUGUAGGGGGAGGAGGCAGGAAGCAGUGAAGAGUCUAAAGAUGUGGUCAGAAGUGAUAGUGCCUGAGCCAGGUUGGAGGCAGUGGGGAUAGAGAGAUUAGAGUGAAGAGAUAUCCCAAAGGCAGAAUGGACAAUUUAGAGAUUGAUGGGAUGUGGGAGAUGAGAGAAUGAAG
rnacentral:lncRNA from 9 species